GGGUCAUCGCAAAUAAAACUGCACACACUACAUACAUGUAAUUAACUGUGACCAAUUUUGAUUCGGUGACUAAUUGUAAUCAAAAUUAUAUUCAGAGUGACUGUCUGUGAUCAAAUCAAUAUCAAGUCACAACCCACCAUCACUACCAAAGAACAACAGAUCAGAAAAUCAUCGCAUCCCCAACACCACCAUGAGCACCACCGCAUCUAUACCAUUGUCUCCCACAAUUACCACCACCACAAUACCCAAAAAAAGGCUACAACACCACUGCACAAAGUACUCACAGCACACCACCACCAUCUCAUCUAUCUCUCGCUAUACCACACCACCACCGACACGACACCACCAAAAAAAUCCAUAAACCCAUUGUCGCCACCACAGCACACUACCACAACCAGUACCUCAAAACCAUAACAAAAAACUGUAGCAAAAUCGCCACAAAAAUCAUCGCAAAAUUACCAAAUAAACUUUUGCUGGGGAUUGCAACGCCGCAAGAACCUCCACAGCGGCGAAUUGGAGGAAAUUUCAAAUCCACUAAGCCCAUGGACGUUGAGUAAGUGUGACGAUUGGGGGUGAGAUGGCUGAGUGGGUAUAGUGAGCACCACUGAGCCCUUAGAUGUUGCUUUGCCGCGCGCAGUGGACACGGUCGGCGGUAGUGUCAUGCCAGAGGUGAAUCGAACAAGUCCAACAUCAGAGGAGCAUCGAAUGCCUCACAGCGCAUUGCGUUUUGUCGUAGCGGCUCUCACAUCGCCGUCGAGUUGGGUGGCUGUCGGAGUAGAGUGGUGAUAGAUAUACAAAAUGUAUAUAGUGAGAGAGAGAGAGAGAGAGAGAGAGAGAGAGAGAGAGAAUAGGGAGAAUGAGACAUGUAGAGAGAGAAAGAAAGAGUCUAUAG
rnacentral:lncRNA from 1 species